rnacentral:rRNA from 1 species
AUUGAACGCUGGCGGCAGGCCUAACACAUGCAAGUCGAGCGGAUGAAGGGAGCUUGCUCCUGGAUUCAGCGGCGGACGGGUGAGUAAUGCCUAGGAAUCUGCCUGGUAGUGGGGGAUAACGUCCGGAAACGGGCGCUAAUACCGCAUACGUCCUGAGGGAGAAAGUGGGGGAUCUUCGGACCUCACGCUAUCAGAUGAGCCUAGGUCGGAUUAGCUAGUUGGUGGGGUAAAGGCCUACCAAGGCGACGAUCCGUAACUGGUCUGAGAGGAUGAUCAGUCAAACGGGAACUGAGACAGGGUCCAGACCCCUACGGGGGGCAGCAGGGGGGAAUUUUGGAAAAGGGGCGAAAGCCUUACCCAGCCAUGCCGGGGGGGUGAAGAAGGUUUUCGGAUUUUAAAGCCUUUUAAGUUGGGAGGAAGGGCAGGAAGUUAAUACCUUGCUGUUUGGACGUUACCAAAAGAAAAAGCCCCGGCUAAUUUCGU